CCUACGGGAGGCUGCAGUGGGGAAUAUUGGACAAUGGGGGCAACCCUGAUCCAGCCAUGCCGCGUGUGUGAAGAAGGCCCGCGGGUUGUAAAGCACUUUCAGUGAGGAAGAACGCCUGGUGGUUAAUACCCAUCAGGAAAGACAUCACUCACAGAAGAAGCACCGGCUAACUCCGUGCCAGCAGCCGCGGUAAUACGGAGGGUGCGAGCGUUAAUCGGAAUUACUGGGCGUAAAGCGCGCGUAGGUGGCUUGAUAAGCCGGGUGUGAAAGCCCCGGGCUCAACCUGGGAACGGCAUCCGGAACUGUCAAGCUAGAGUGCAGGAGAGGAAGGUAGAAUUCCCGGUGUAGCGGUGAAAUGCGUAGAGAUCGGGAGGAAUACCAGUGGCGAAGGCGGCCUUCUGGACUGACACUGACACUGAGGUGCGAAAGCGUGGGUAGCAAACAGGAUUAGAUACCCGAGUAGUC
rnacentral:rRNA from 1 species